rnacentral:rRNA from 1 species
UGAGGAAUAUUGCGCAAUGGGGGGAACCCUGACGCAGCGACGCCGCGUGGAUGAUGAAGGCUUUCGAGUCGUAAAAUUCUGUCAGAUGGGAAGAAGUGGAUAUAAGUUAAUACCUUGUAUGCUUGACGGUACC